rnacentral:rRNA from 1 species
UACGUAGGGAGCAAGCGUUGUCCGGAAUCAUUGGGCGUAAAGAGCGUGUAGGCGGCCAGGUAGGUCGGUUGUGAAAACUGGAGGCUCAACCUUCAGACGUCGACCGAAACCAUCUGGCUAGAGUCCGGGAGAGGAGAGUGGAAUUCCUGGUGUAGCGGUGAAAUGCGCAGAUAUCAGGAAGAACACCCGUGGCGAAAGCGGCUCUCUGGACGGUGACUGACGCUGAGACGCGAAAGCGUGGGGAGCAAACAGG